rnacentral:rRNA from 1 species
AACGAACGCUGGCGGCAGGCUUAACACAUGCAAGUCGAACGGGUGUCGCAAGACAUCAGUGGCAGACGGGUGAGUAACACGUGGGAACCUUCCUCGGGGUACGGAACAACGCAGGGAAACUUGCGCUAAUACCGUAUACGUCCGUGAGGAGAAAGAUUUAUCGCCCUGAGACGGGCCCGCGUCGGAUUAGCUAGUUGGUGGGGUAACGGCCUACCAAGGCGACGAUCCGUAGCUGAUCUUAGAGGANGAUCAGCCACACUGGGACUGAGACACGGCCCAGACUCCUACGGGAGGCAGCAGUGGGGAAUCUUGGACAAUGGGCGCAAGCCUGAUCCAGCCAUGCCGCGUGAGUGAAGAAGGUCUUCGGAUUGUAAAGCUCUUUUACCAGGGACGAUAAUGACGGUACCUGGAGAAUAAGCCCCGGCAAACUUCGUGCCAGCAGCCGCGGUAAC